CCGGAGUGGACGCAUCACUGGUGUUCGGGUUGUCAUGCCAAUGGCACUGCCCGGUAGCUAAAUGCGGAAGAGAUAAGUGCUGAAAGCAUCUAAGCACGAAACUUGCCCCGAGAUGAGUUCUCCCUGACUCCUUGAGAGUCCUGAAGGAACGUUGAAGACGACGACGUUGAUAGGUCGGGUGUGUAAGCGCAGCGAUGCGUUGAGCUAACCGAUACUAAUGAACCGUGAGGCUUAACCUUACAACGCCGAAGGUGUUU
rnacentral:rRNA from 1 species